rnacentral:rRNA from 1 species
AGAGUUUGAUCAUGGCUCAGGAUGAACGCUGGCGGUCUGCUUAACACAUGCAAGUCGAACGGGACUCUUCGGAGUUCAGUGGCGGACGGGUGAGUAACGCGUGAGAAUCUGCCUUCAGGUCGGGGACAACCACUGGAAACGGUGGCUAAUACCCGAUGUGCGCAACGUGAAAGAUUUAUCGCCUGAAGAGGAGCUCGCGUCUGAUUAGCUAGUUGGUGGGGUAAAAGCUCACCAAGGCGACGAUCAGUAGCUGGUCUGAGAGGAUGAUCAGCCACACUGGGACUGAGACACGGCCCAGACUCCUACGGGAGGCAGCAGUGGGGAAUUUUCCGCAAUGGGCGAAAGCCUGACGGAGCAAGACCGCGUGAGGGAGGAAGGCUCUUGGGUUGUAAACCUCUUUUCUCAGGGAAGAACAAAAUGACGGUACCUGAGGAAUCAGCCUCGGCUAACUCCGUGCCAGCAGCCGCGGUAAUACGGAGGAGGCAAGCGUUAUCCGGAAUUAUUGGGCGUAAAGCGUCCGCAGGUGGCACUUCAAGUCUGUCGUCAAAGACUGGGGCUUAACCCUGGAAAGGCGGUGGAAACUGAAGCGCUAGAGUGUGGUAGGGGUAGAGGGAAUUCCCGGUGUAGCGGUGAAAUGCGUAGAGAUCGGGAAGAACAUCGGUGGCGAAAGCGCUCUACUGGACCACAACUGACACUCAGGGACGAAAGCUAGGGGAGCGAAUGGGAUUAGAUACCCCAGUAGUCC